GUGGCCACAGCCUCGGCCUCCCUCUGUGGGCCCUGGAGUCCUGGUGGAGAGUGCAGACCCCCUGGGGUCCCAGGUGCGGUGGGGAUGGGGCUCCCUCCACCAUGGGUCUGGCCCACUCUAGUGCCCCAGGGACCCUGCUCCUUCCUCUUCCCAGCUGGGCUGGGCGAGGUAUCCGCCUGGAGGGGAUCGAGGUGCUGUCCCCCAACGCAGGCAUGGCGCACAUCCUGGGGUGGACGUGGGUGAGAGGAGAACCCCACGGCCCCUGCCUCCUGGAGACCACGCGGUCACGGGGACUCAUCGUGGAUUUAAGGCACACAGGGCCCCAGGGGAGAAGGUGCAUGUGGGUUGACCCCAGGGCCUAUGGAAUCCUCUCAGCCUCAUCACUGGAUGCUGCCGUUGACAGGAGGACCCUGAAGGCCUCAGCUGCAGCUCUUGGCCACUUGGCCCCAGUGUGGACACUGUCUCUGCCCUGGAGAAUGUGGAGAGGACAAGAAGGAUCAGGCCCACGGCGGAUGGGAGCCCCAGCUCUCCACCAUGCUGUGGGGAGGGGUCAGCCUGGCAGGGUCUGCUGGGGAGCUGUGGCCAGGUGGGCUCCAAGCAGGGGACUGGGUGUGUGUGGCACCCCAGGGUGCUUUCCAUCUGAGUCUCCAGCGUAAGCAGCCCCGUGGUUAUACAAGUGACUGUGGUCCAUAAACAUUCCGGGAGGUGUAUCCGUCAGUCGGCAGUUCACGGCUGCUCUGUCACCCGAGGGCGUGAGCUACUCAGGGAACAGAAACACCAACCAA